CAUUUCUUAUAUAUAUACAAGAGAGUACUGAUCUAACAUGAAAUACAGGAGACACGAAACGGCAAGAGCUGGCUUAUCUUCAUCUAUCACUCGCUUCCUUUGGAGCUUCUUCCAACAAUGAUCGCAAGAUUUCGCCAGCGGAGCAAUUGUUCUCGAAAUCUGCGAUCCCAAGCUCAGGGAGAAUGCUCUUCACGAGCACCUUUUACGAAAGCAACCUAGAAUCUUAUAUAUAUGCUACCAAAAAGAAGGUCUCAAAGAAACACAGGGAAGUAAAAAAGCUGGUUGGAGAAGAACGAAGCUGAGCAGAAAAAGGGAAUGUUGCUUCAUACCUUUUUAUGUCUUUAAAAUUAGAGAGAGUUAACAUGACAAAUCUUUGUAACAGGACUGCUAUGUGGAGCAAGCCAGUGUUCACGUCAGAUGUAGUGUACACCAAUGUACAUAUUCUGCAAAACAAGGUUAAGAAGGUGAAUAGAAUUCCAAAGCCAAAGAUAGAGAAAGCAAGCAAGAAGGAGAAUGCAACGGAGGAGGAUAAAUCAAAAGGCUCUGAAGACAACACCAAUGCUUAUGAAUCUGAAGCUGGUGCCAAAGAAGAAGGGGGCCACGACUAGCUUAGAUUAACAUCACACACAUAAUAAUAGAGUUUUCCAUUAAAUUUAUAUAUAUAUAUAUAUAUAUAUUUAUUAAACUUAUAUUUUGUAUGUGUUUAAGUGUCAGAUAGGAGGUUGGUUAGUAAAAAAGCCAACCUAAGCUGAGCAAAAGGAUUUGAUUUCAUUCUCAACCUCUUUAUCAUAUCAAGUUUGGUGUCUU